rnacentral:rRNA from 1 species
CCUACGGGGUGCUGCAGUGGGGAAUAUUGGACAAUGGGCGAAAGCCUGAUCCAGCCAUGCCGCGUGUGUGAAGAAGGCCUUCGGGUUGUAAAGCACUUUCAGUGGGGAAGAAAGCCUUGGGGCUAAUACCCUCGAGGAAGGACAUCACCCACAGAAGAAGCACCGGCUAACUCCGUGCCAGCAGCCGCGGUAAUACGGAGGGUGCGAGCGUUAAUCGGAAUUACUGGGCGUAAAGCGCGCGUAGGCGGUCUGAUAAGCCGGUUGUGAAAGCCCCGGGCUCAACCUGGGAACGGCAUCCGGAACUGUCAGGCUAGAGUGCAGGAGAGGAAGGUAGAAUUCCCGGUGUAGCGGUGAGAUGCGUAGAGAUCGGGAGGAAUACCAGUGGCGAAGGCGGCCUUCUGGACUGACACUGACGCUGAGGUGCGAAAGCGUGGGUAGCAAACAGGAUUAGAUACCCUGGUAGUC